CACAGUUUCUUUUACUUGGUUCAUCAAAAACAGGAAGCCAAAGGUAUGAAUACUCUUCCUGUGAAUCAAGAGAGAAACCUUCCUCAUCUGCACUCAUGAACCCACAGCCUCGGGCUGCUAGAUUUGCUCCUGGAAGAAUUGAAGGUUGCAAGCGGGACGCUGGGAGCCCCCAGAAAAGAAUGAAGCCCACUGACACCUUGACUUCUGUCUGCUGAGACCUGUACCAGAUUUCUGACUUGGGAAACUGUCUGCCUUUUGACACUACGUGAUUUUCGCUCUUCACUGGAUGAGGCUGAUUGAUAGAUCUUUGGGACCCAAUCCUAUCCAUUCAUCCGCCGGCAAAGUGGGCUUCUUACCAGAGAUACCAACACACUUCCCCUUAUUUCUACUCACCUUCUUGGAAUUCUCUGAUGGAUUUCUGAUGUUGGCGGCCUGGAAGAAAUGAUCUGUGUGUAGAUUCAGCAGCUACCAUUUAUCAAGGAAACAAUGAAUUUUGUUAUCAAUGAAACAAGAAUUUUACCAGGCAAUAAAAGACUUCUUGGAGUAAGACACUGUUUCUACGCUCCACUAUUCCAUUUGUACAG